rnacentral:rRNA from 1 species
AUGAAACUCGUAAGUUGGAACUGCCGGGGACUCGGGAACGGCCCGGCAGUUCAGUCUCUUCUCGAGUUGGGAAGAACAGAGGAGCCCGACAUUUUAUUUCUGUGUGAGACUAGAAUGAAGGAGAAGGAGCUGGGAAGGUUUAGGUGGUUGUUGGGGCUCGCCAACAUGGUUGCUUGGAAGGAUGAAGGGAGUGGAAGAGGGGUGGCCUUGUUCUGGAGGAAGGGAGUCGAUGUCACUCUACGUUCAUAUGGGAGGAGGCAUGUGGAUGUGGAUGUAUCCAGGGAGGAUGGAACGAUCUGGCGCCUCACCGGGGUGUACGUCAAAUCUGAAAUGCAGAGGAACGUAGAAACAUGGAAGCUGCUGAAAAUCCUGAAUCAGCAACACCGGACAAAGGCCAUGGUUGUGUUUCAGUGA